UCUCCCAAGGCUAAAUACUCCCUAGUGACCGAUAGUGAACCAGUACCGUGAGGGAAAGGUGAAAAGCACCCCGGAAGGGGAGUGAAAUAGAACCUGAAACCGUGUGCCUACAACAAGUCAAAGCCCGUUAAUGGGUGAUGGCGUGCCUUUUGUAGAAUGAACCGGCGAGUUACGAUUGCAUGCGAGGUUAAGUUGAAGAGACGGAGCCGCAGCGAAAGCGAGUCUGAAUAGGGCGUUUGAGUAUGUAGUCGUAGACCCGAAACCAUGUGAUCUACCCAUGUCCAGGUUGAAGGUGCGGUAAAACGCACUGGAGGACCGAACCCACGUACGUUGAAAAGUGCGGGGAUGAGGUGUGGGUAGCGGAGAAAUUCCAAACGAACUUGGAGAUAGCUGGUUCUCUCCGAAAUAGCUUUAGGGCUAGCCUCGGAAUUGAGAAUGAUGGAGGUAGAGCACUGUUUGGACUAGGGGCCCAUCUCGGGUUACCGAAUUCAGAUAAACUCCGAAUGCCAUUCAUUCAUAUCCGGGAGUCAGACUGUGAGUGAUAAGAUCCAUAGUCGAAAGGGAAACAGCCCAGACCACCAGCUAAGGUCCCAAAAUAUAUGUUAAGUGGAAAAGGAUGUGGGGUUGCACAGACAACUAGG
rnacentral:rRNA from 1 species